UCCGCAGUAGCUCAGUGGUAGAGCUAUCGGCUGUUAACCGAUCGGUCGUAGGUUCGAAUCCUACCUGCGGAA
rnacentral:tRNA from 1 species